GAACAAUACCGCGUGAGGGAGGAAGGCCUUUGGGUUGUAAACCUCUUUUCUGGGGGAAGAAGCAAGUGACGGUACCCCAGGAAUCAGCAUCGGCUAACUCCGUGCCAGCCGCCGCGGUAAUACGGAGGAUGCACGCGUUAUCCGGAAUUAUUGGGCGUAAAGCGUCCGCAUGUGGUCCAUCAAGUCUGCUGUCAAAGACCGGAGCUCAACUCCGGGCAGGCAGUGGAAACUGGUGAACUAGAGUACGGUAGGGGUAGAGGGAAUUCCCAGUGUAGCGGUGAAAUGCGUAGAGAUUGGGAAGAACACCUGUGGCGAAGGCGCUCUACUGGGCCGUAACUGACGCUCAGGGACUAAAGCUAGGGGAGCGAAAGGGAUUAGAUACCCCUGUUUUCCUAGCUGUAAACGAUGGAUACUAGGCGUUGCUUGUAUCGACCCGAGCAGUGCCGUAGCUAACGCGUUAAGUAUCCCGCCUGGAGUACGCACGCAWGUGUGAAACUCAAAGGAAUUGACGGGGGCCCGCACAAGCGGUGGAGUAUGUGGUUUAAUUCGAUGCAACGCGAAGAACCUUACCAGGGGCUUGACAUGUCCGGAAUCUCGGGGAAACUCGAGAGUGCCUUCGGGAGUCGGAACACAGGUGGUGCAUGGCUGUCGUCAGCUCGUGUCGUGAGAUGUUGGGUUAAGUCCCGCAACGAGCGCAACCCUCGUCCUUAGUUGCCAGCCUUAAGUGGGGCACUCUAGGGAGACUGCCGGUGACAAACCGGAGGAAGGUGGGGAUGACGUCAAGUCAGCAUGCCCCUUACGUCCUGGGCGACACACGUACUACAAUGGUCGGGACAAAGGGCAGYGAACUCGCGAGAGUAAGCGAAUCUCAGCAAACCCGGCCUCAGUUCAGAUUGCAGGCUGCAACUCGCCUGCAUGAAGGAGGAAUCGCUAGUAAUCGCAGGUCAGCAUACUGCGGUGAAUUCGUUCCCGGGCCUUGUACACACCGCCCGUCACACUAUGGAAGCUGGCCACGCCCGAAGUCGUUACCCUAACCCUUAGGGGAGGGGGACGCCGAAGGCAGGGCUAGUGACUGGGGUGAAGUCGUAACAAGGUAGCCGUACCGGAAGGUGUG
rnacentral:rRNA from 1 species